CCUGGCGGCACUAGCGCGGUGGUCCCACCUGACCCCAUGACGAACUCAGAAGUGAAACGCCGUAGCGCCGAUGGUAGUGUGGGGUCUCCCCAUGUGAGAGUAGGGAACUGCCAGGC
rnacentral:rRNA from 1 species